CUACGGGGCGCUGCAGUGGGGAAUAUUGCACAAUGGAGGAAACUCUGAUGCAGCAACGCCGCGUGGAGGAUGACACUUUUCGGAGCGUAAACUCCUUUUAUAUAGGAAGAAGAUGACGGUACUAUAUGAAUAAGCGCCGGCUAACUCCGUGCCAGCAGCCGCGGUAAUACGGAGGGCGCAAGCGUUACUCGGAAUCACUGGGCGUAAAGAGCGUGUAGGCGGAUUAAAAAGUCAGAAGUGAAAUCCUAUAGCUCAACUAUAGAACUGCUUUUGAAACUCUUAAUCUAGAAUAUGGGAGAGGUAGAUGGAAUUUCUGGUGUAGGGGUAAAAUCCGUAGAGAUCAGAAGGAAUACCGAUUGCGAAGGCGAUCUACUAGAACAUUAUUGACGCUGAGACGCGAAAGCGUGGGGAGCAAACAGGAUUAGAUACCCGAGUAGUC
rnacentral:rRNA from 1 species